UUGUAACACCGUAAAUUUCAAAAUAAUUUUUCGCAUAAUAUAAAAACAUAUUCAUUUAAUUUUCAUAAAAACAUCAAUGUUUGAAACUCCAAUCCAUGACAUAUAAAGAAUCCCAAGAUCACAUAACAUGAAAAUCCCGUGUGUGUACUGAUCAAGCCGGCGCCUUCCCACGGUCAUCACUAGUACCUGAAACAAAUAACACCAAACACUGUAAGCACAAAGCUUAGUGAGUUUCCCAAUAUACCAUACAUAACGCAUAUUAGCCACUCGAGGCUAUAACUCUGUGGGUCCGUGCACCCAAGCUCUGUGAACCCUCAGGUUUUAACUCUGAUAACAUGCAUAACAUAGAUCACAUAGAAAUAAUGCAGUGCAACACAUAACAUACAUAGCAUACAAAUACUCUAUCACAUAACUCUGGUUACCUACUCAAGGUAAAGUAUAGUGAAAAGACUCACCUCGCGUAUCUCAGUAACUCGCAAAUCCCUGAAAUCACUCGUGCUCGAUCCCCCGAUCUAUAGUCCUCCUAUAACACAAUAUAUCUCUAAAUAACACUUCACAACUAAGGUUGACUAACCCUAUCAAGUCAACACAGGUCAACACUGGUCAAUGGUCAACAGUCAACUUUGACCGGACUCGGCGAGUGCACUAUAGCGACUCGGCAAGUCUAUACGCAUCCACUGAUUCCCUGGGAUCCUCUCUCGACACGUCGAGUAUUUUCCUAACUCGACGAGUUCCACCUGGCAUGAGUUGCGGGGACACCGCCACUCAACUCGCCUAGUCUCAAGAACAACUCGGCAAGUUCCAGCUUGACUCAGUCCACCCGUCAACCCUCUCUGACUCUCCCUGACUCACUGAGUCAACCCCUUAACUCGGCAAGACCACUCGCUGAGUGGUUAUGGACAAUCUUCAUGCUACUCGCUGAGUCUGUUCUUCAGACUUGGCGAGUCUAUGCCAUGCAUAAACUCAAACUCACUCCUGAGGUCAGAUCUGUUCCAAUAACUCAUAGAUCCAGUCCUUCCAAGCACAUACAUCACGUAAAGUUACUAUCUUGGUGUUCGUGCAAAGGUUCAAAGGCCUUAUUUGAUGAUAUGGUCUCUAGAAUGCUAUUCUAAGCUCAUGGCCUCCAUUAACACUCAUAAAGCUUGAGGGAAAAGGGUCUCUGGACCUCUUUGGGCCCAUAUCUAAAGCACCAACACGUGAAGAGGCCAAUUACUCCAUGGAUCAUUCCACAAAGAAACCUAACUCUAAGAUUUACACCAAGGACUAAGAAAGGAACGAAUGGUUACCUUAAAUGAAGUAUCUGAGCUCAGGAAUCACUGGAUUAGCACCUUCUUUGGUCUCCUCUUGCCUUGAUCUUCUUCUAUAUGCAAAAACACCCACAAAUAGUCAAGGAUCUUCCUCUUCUCUUUCACAAAACGCUCAAAGACUCUUUAGGGUUCUCUCUGGGGUUGGUGGCCGCAAAUGAAGGCCAUAAGCCCCUUUAAAUAGGUCUCAUACCCUGGAAAUUAGGGUUUCAUUAAAUAGCGUGGACUCGCCGAGUCCACCUUUUGGACUCACCGAGUCCAGACGCGAACCCGUGCCCAAGCUGCGAUCAUACUCGGCGAGUUUGAGCUCCAACUCGCCGAGUCUCCUCACAAAUCACCAAAAUUAUAAGAAUAAAUAAUACCUGGGAAUCCGGGUGUCACACCCCCAGCCAACGGCGGAAUCACCGGGUGAGUGACGAAAAUCGAAUAUCACAAACAUAGCAUAUAUCAAACAUUAAACAACCACUUAAAGUUUUACAUCACAUACGACAUAAUUAUAUCUUACUUUGUUACAUGUUUCAUGACAAAUCUUCAACGAUUCAAAAAGAGGACAUAAAACUUAAUUUAGAACAAAAAUAUAAGACGAUGAUUCCAUACUCCUCGCGUGAAUUUCUUGCCUUAAUUUCCUGAGAAUACAUGUUAAAAUACGUCAACAAUAAUGUUGGUGAGUCCUACAGGUUUUGACUCCAUAUAUUCUUAAAAUAACAAAAGAUUUUUAUAAAAAGAACUAAAUGUAGAGAUAGAAAUCUUUGCCCUUUUCAAAACAUAAUUUGUCAAUUUUUCACCAAGAAUGAUUAUUUUACUGUUGCAUGUGUUAGAACCAACUUAGUAGUAAAUAAAUCUCUCUUUGUCAAUUUCCAUAUGAUAAUUAUAUUAUCAAUGGUCGUUUUUAUUGAUUUCAGAACAAAGGAAUAUUAGAUGGUGUCAUAACCGAACUCUUGACACUAAACUUUAUUAUUGCACCAACACCAUGAUAGGGCGCGUGUGCUAAAGUCAUUCUCCCCGUAAUAACGCGGGGUAAUGUUCGAUAAUGCUAACGUCAGCGCCAAAAUUCAUCUCGUCAGACGUAGUUGUAGCUAGCAACUCCAGGCGGACGGUCGUACCGUAUAAGAUCAAUGUUAUGACAUUUAUACCUAGCGUUAGUCGUUCCCUCAAGGAUUAACGGUUAUUUGACGGAAGGUCUCUACUAAGUAUUGUGAACUUAGCCUUUGCGAAACCGGAUAUGAAUGCUUGAACGGAUUGGGUUCGAUAUUCGGAAUAGGUAUAAUGAACCUAUUUGGAAUGGGUAUAAUAAACCCUUAAAGAAUAGGUAUAAUGAACCUAUGCGGAAUGGGUAUGAUGAACCCACAAAGAAUAGGUAUAAUGAACCUAUGCAGAAUUGGUAUAAUAAACCCACAAACGAUAGGUAUAAUGAACCUAUGUUGUUCAUUUUAGAUUCACUAGAAACGCAAAGUUAUUUGCCGUAUAAGAAAACGAUACUCAGAAUUCUUGAACUUCAAUACUUAUUGUUCUUUGAUUCGACUUUGAUAUUAUGAUAACAGAGUAGUUAUUUUAUACUAUGAUGUUUAAUGUGCAAGGAACCAUAAUAACAAUUUAUACGGAAAUUCCAUCUGUUACCCUUUUAGUAUAUGUAUAUGUACAUUUUGUAUUGGGUUUCACAGGCUUAAGAGUACUUGUGCAGGUUAGUAACUUAAUUUAAAUCUGUUUCUUUAAUAUCCGACAUAUACAUGCACAAAUUUGGUAUCUUGAUUUAAGUAUAACCAUAUGGUUAUUCAAUCUGGUAUGACUAUAUAGUAACGAUUUAUUACAAUUUCUGUUAUACUCCGUAAGUAACUGGUUCCGUUUUCGUUUAUUGUUCUUUUCAGCAUUAUAGAGUAUGAGCAUACUACACCAUAGUACCUUGAACUUACAAUUUCACAGCUUUUAUUUAUCUCUUCUUAACAGUUUGCUUCAUACCCUUAUAUCUAGAAUAUCAAUACUUUAAUAACCCUUAAUUGUUUUGAAUAUUUAACUUAUAUGAACUUAAUACUCAGUAACAUUUCACAACUUAUAUUUAUAGUUAUCUCUAUAAAAUAAGUUGUUAUAAUCAUACUUACGUGACAUAUAAUGAAAUCUUAGUUUAUCAACACUCUUCUUGUAUAUGAUUAUAUAUAUGUACUUAGCGAUAGUUGUUUUACUUUAAUUCAUUUGUUUUGAACCAUUUUCAUCAUGAUAAUAAGACCGAACUACAUGUAUUCUCCCCCAAACAUUGAUAAUAAGAAAUAGGGGCCAUAGAAUUCACAUUGGUUUUGAGAGUCGGAAGUGUCAGGAAGCUCUCGUUCUAAGCGGGAUUUGGAAUGGGAAUCUUGGAGUCAACCUAAACAUCACAUGGCAGAAAAAUAAUGGAAUCAGGAACUAUACACACCUGACUAGGACCAAACCCGCCACCGGGAUCGUCCGGUUGGAACUGUUCAGGCCACCGGCCACCAUGGCAGGUGCCUACUGUUCACGGUGGUUGCUGGACGAAUUUUGAUCAGAGGAGGUAGAGAAUUACCUGAGAUUUAUGGAGAAGCAGGGACAAGGUGAGUAGGAGCAGUUUGAGUGUCUAACCAAUGAAGGCAUGCUGCUUCUUCUUCUCUGGUAAGCUGCUACAUGCGUGUUUAUGAUUAGGGGUUUGUUUCAACUGGAAUCGGUGGUGAUCAGGAGGUAUUUGAGUUGGUUUGCCAUUGGAGAUAGAAGGAAUAAAAGGGCUGGGUUGGAGGUGGAAAUCGAGUUCAAUUGCUGCUGGACUCCUCCUCUGUUUAUUUGAGAGAACACGGAAGUGAGGAACUUGGGCAGAUGAUAGGAGAGACGAGUGAAGGACUUCAAUAAUGAGUUAGAUAGCUGUGAAGCUUCUCCAAAGCACCUUUACAGCUGUGGAUCAUGUAAGAUAUCUGAUUGUACGAUGAGAUAUAUGCAGGAUUUUGUACAUGUGCAGAAUUUGUGUGUGUGUGUGUGUAUCUUGAGGAAAAUUGUGAGAGGGAAGUGCCGUGGGGCCUGGUUGAUAUUGCUUCUAAAUGAAUCAGAUAUUGGGAGAUUUG
rnacentral:lncRNA from 1 species